rnacentral:rRNA from 1 species
AUGCUUUACACAUGCAAGUCGAACGGUAACAGGGUCGUUGCACCGCUGACGAGUGGCGAACGGGUGAGUAAUGCGUCGGAAUGUACCGUGUAAUGGGGGAUAGCUCGGCGAAAGCCGGAUUAAUACCGCAUACGCCCUGAGGGGGAAAGUGGGGGACCGUAAGGCCUCACGUUAUACGAGCAGCCGACGUCUGAUUAGCUAGUUGGUGAGGUAAGAGCUCACCAAGGCGACGAUCAGUAGCGGGUCUGAGAGGAUGAUCCGCCACACUGGGACUGAGACACGGCCCAGACUCCUACGGGAGGCAGCAGUGGGGAAUUUUGGACAAUGGGCGCAAGCCUGAUCCAGCCAUGCCGCGUGUCUGAAGAAGGCCUUCGGGUUGUAAAGGACUUUUGUUCGGGAGGAAAUCCCGCUGGUUAAUACCUGGCGGGGAUGACAGUACCGGAAGAAUAAGCACCGGCUAACUACGUGCCAGCAGCCGCGGUAAUACGUAGGGUGCAAGCGUUAAUCGGAAUUACUGGGCGUAAAGCGUGCGCAGGCGG